rnacentral:ncRNA from 1 species
GCCCUAACUGUAUGCAGGGCAUACUCUCGCCACGAAAGGCGAGGGCCGAAGAAUGUUAAACUUCAGUAAUUAAACAGACAUCAUGG